AUGAAGGAAACAUCCUUCCUAGGACA
rnacentral:tRNA from 1 species